rnacentral:rRNA from 1 species
UAAUGUUCAAUGGACGCGAGUCUGAACCAGCCAAGCAGCGUGAAGGAUGACUGCCCUAUGGGUUGUAAACUUCUUUUAUAUGGGAAUACAGUUUUCCACGUGCGGAAUUUUGUAUGUAUCAUAUGAAUAAGGAUCGGCUAACUCCGUGCCAGCAGCCGCGGUAAUACGGAGGAUCCGAGCGUUAUCCGGAUUUAUUGGGUUUAAAGGGAGCGUAGGUGGACAGUUAAGUCAGUUGUGAAAGUUUGCGGCUCAACCGUAAAAUUGCAGUUGAGACUGGCUGUCUUGAGUACAGUAGAGGUGGGCGGAAUUCGUGGUGUAGCGGUGAAAUGCUUAGAUAUCACGAAGAACUCCGAUUGCGAAGGCAGCUCACUAGACUGCAACUGACACUGAUGCUCGAAAGUGUGGGUAUCAAAC